rnacentral:rRNA from 1 species
GACGAACGCUGGCGGCGUGCUUAACACAUGCAAGUCGAACGCUGAAGCUCAGCUUGCUGGGUGGAUGAGUGGCGAACGGGUGAGUAACACGUGAGUAACCUGCCCUCUUCUUUGGGAUAACGCCCGGAAACGGGUGCUAAUACUGGAUAUUCACUGAUUCUCGCAUGGGGGUUGGUGGAAAGGUUUUUUCUGGUGGGGGAUGGGCUCGCGGCCUAUCAGCUUGUUGGUGGGGUGAUGGCCUACCAAGGCUUUGACGGGUAGCCGGCCUGAGAGGGUGACCGGUCACAUUGGGACUGAGAUACGGCCCAGACUCCUACGGGAGGCAGCAGUGGGGAAUAUUGCACAAUGGGCGAAAGCCUGAUGCAGCGACGCCGCGUGAGGGAUGGAGGCCUUCGGGGUGUAAACCUCUUUCGCUCAUGGUCAAGCCGCAGCUUUGGGUUGUGGUGAGGGUAGUGGGUAAAGAAGCGCCGGCUAACUACGUG